UUCCUGCUCUUCACCUAGAAGCUAAAAAAACCUAAGUUGUCUCUUCCACAUAAAUUCUUUACAGAUGUGUAGCCUAUCAUCGCUCAGUUUGAAGUUUCAGUUUCACCAUCAAUUGAGUUUCGUUUUCACCAUCGAAAGUCGCUGGGUUGGAGGACAAACGUAGUCGUCAAUUGCAUUCUCUCUGUCGAUUUCUUUCUCUGCAUAUAAAGUUUGCCUCCCAGUGUGUAUAAACACUGAAUUUCAGAAGCCAUAAGAGGGUGUAUAGGGUCUCGACAGAGCACAAUAGAUGGAUCGUAGUUGGAUGUAUAAUAUGACUAAUUUUGGUCGAAUGGGGCUAAGACCUGAAUUUGUAGAAGGUGUCACUGGUUUUGUGGAGUAUGCUAAGACAUUAGAUCCUUUUCAACGUAGUGGUAUGAUUAAGUGUCCUUGUAAUAAAUGUCAAUGUUUGAAUUAUGAAAAAUCAGAUAUUGUUGAGCUUCAUAUCUAUCGAAAUGGGUUUAAAAAAGAAUAUUGUGUGGAUUAGUCAUGGAGAAAUUGAUAAUAACUUUGAUGUAUUUCAACAUUAUGUUCCUAGUGAAAGUAGUAGCACUGUGAAUUCUAAUGCACAAAAUUAUAGAAUGGAUGACAUGAUUCAAGAUUCUUUUGGUGUGCACUGUCAUUUUGAUUUUGCUAAUCAAGGUGAAGAAUUUCCUAAUGCUGAAUGUAAAAUUUUCUUUGAACAAUUGAAAGUUGCUAGUCGGCCUUCAUAUGAGGGGAGUCCACAUUCGCAGUUGUCUAUUGCGGUUAGAUUAUUAAGUAUCAAAUCAGACUGGAAUGUUCCUCAAGGGGCAAUGGACUCUGUGAUUGACCUUAUUCAUGAUUUAGUUGAACCAAAUCUAGAGAUACCCGAUAAUUUCUAUAAGGCAAUGAGGUUGGUAUCAAAGUUAGGAAUGUCAUCGAUGAGAAUUCAUUGUUGUGAAAAUGGUUGCAUGUUAUACUAUAAGGAUGAUAUUGGUCUAGAAUCAUGUAAGUUUGUGGAAAAUCUCAUCAUAAGCAGACUGCUAGUGGGAAGAAAGUUCCUAUUAAGGCGAUGCAUUACUUACUUCUGAUACCAAGGUUAAAGAGGUUGUAUGCGUCUAAUAAAUCUGCUCCUCAUAUGAGAUGGCACCAUGAAUAUAGAAGACCACCUAGAGUUAUGUGUCAUCCAUAUAAUGGAGAGGCUUGGAAUCAUUUUGAUAGAACAUAUCCACAAUUUGCAGCUGAACCACGGAACAUUAGAUUGGGUUUAUGUUCAGAUGGAUUCACGCCACAUUCUAUUUCUGCUGCACCAUAUUUUUGUUGGCCUUUAUUUGUAACACCAUAUAAUCUUCCACCUGAGGUGUGUAUGACCAGUCCAUAUAUAUUUCUCAAUUGUGUCAUUCCUGGACCACGGAAUCCAAAAGUAUUGAUUGAUGUAUACUUGCAACCUUUGAUUGAUGAGUUGAAACAAUUAUGGAUUCAAGGGGUUGAAACAUUUGAUGUGUCUCUUAAGCAGUAUUUUAAUAUGUGGGCUGCCUUAAUGUGGACUAUUAAUGAUUUUCAAGCAUAUGGAAUGUUGUCAGGGUGGAUGACAGUGGGAAAGUUAGCUUGUCCUAAUUGUAUGGAAUAUACUAAAUCAUUCACUUUGAAACAUGAUCGUAAAAAUUCUUGGUUUGACUGUCAUCGACAGUUCUUGCCAAUGGAUCAUGAGUUUAGGAGUAUGAAAAAUGCAUCCAGAAAGAAUUUUGUUGAACAAGGUUAUCCUCCUCCAAUCUUGACUAGAGAACAAGUUUGGGAGAGGGUUCAAAACUUUCUAAAGGUUACAGAAGAACAACCCUACAAAUUUGAUGGAUAUGGUGUUGCUCAUAACUUAACAAAACAAAGCAUAUUCUGAGAGUUACCAUAUUGGAAGGACAAUCUUCUUAGACAUAAUCUUGAUGUCAUGCAUAUUGGAAAAAUUACUUUGAUAAUUUAUUUUACACUGAAAGACAAAAAAUAAUGUUAAAGCUGGAAUAGACUUACCUGAAUAUUGCAGGCGAAAAGAGUUAUGGUUGCAAGAGAAACAGAACAACAAGUUCUUGAAGCCUAAGGCUAGUUAUUCAUUUACAAUGUAUCAAAAGCAUAAUAUUUGUGAAUGGGUCGAGCAACUUAAGAUGCCUGCUGGAAAUGCUUCAAAUUUAGGAAAAUGUGUCGAUAUGGAGCAUGGAAAAUUACAUUAAAUGAAAAGUAAUGAUUGUCAUGUCUCCAUGGAAACAUCACUCCCCAUUGCAUUUAGUGUCUUGCCCGAUAGAAUUUGGAAACCUAUGACUGAAAUCAAUUUGUUCUUCAAGGACUAGUGUUCUAAUACGUUAAGGGAAGAUAACCUAGUUCAGAUGGAUUAGAAUAUUCCUGUAAUUACAAAUAAGUUAGAGAAGAUUCUUCCACCUGAAUUUUUUGAUGUGAUGGAGCAUCUUCCUGUACAUCUAGUGCAUAAAGCACGCCUCGGAGGUCCGGUUCAAUAUAGAUGGAUGUAUCCAUUUGAGAGGACUAUUGAAAAGUCUAAACGGGGCAUGAAACAAAAUCAUAGAGUUGAAGGCUCAAUUGUUCAAAUCCAUCUUGGUAGGGAGAUAACUAAUUUUGGUUCUUAUUACUUUAAAAGAAGUGUUUCAUGCUUUCAAAACAGACCCAAUUUCCAUGACAAUGGUGGUGAGACUAUGAAGACACUAUCAAUCUUCAACCAACCAGGCAAAGGUUCAAAAAAUGCACAAGGAGGAACCUUAGUGCCAUUGAGUUGCAGUCUGCAUCUACACAUGUCUUAUUGAAUUGCCCACAAGUUAAACCAUUUGUUGAGUAAGUUUAUUUUUUUGCACUAAAAUAUGUAAUUACAAGACAAAACAAUUAACUCAAUAUCCAUCUUCUUUGACAGUUACUUUGUGCAUUUAUAUAGCAAUAAAAGAGUAUUUAGAUUGUUUCUCAAAGUGGUUACAAGAUUAUGUAA